rnacentral:tRNA from 1 species
GGGAAGGUGGCUCAGUGGUAGAGUGCUUGCCUUGCAUGCAUGAGGUCCUGGGUUCAAUUCCUCAGCACCCCA